CAAGUGGGUCUGCAGCCGGAGGACCCGGAGGAGCUCUCCAGGAGGAAGUAGCGGUGGACGGCCCCAUGAAGGACCCCUACACCCCCUCCAUCCACCAUCCCUCCAUCCACCCGGCUCAUCUCGGCUGCUCCUGAGGCCAAGUGGAUGAAAAAUCUUCGCGCCCUCCUGAGCCUGAGGUCAAACCGGUCCAAGGUGACUCCCAAGAGUCCUUUUGGGGGUCACGCUGGGCCGUAGUUUUAUUUAUAUAUUAAGAUAAGAUAAGUUAGUUUGCUAAGUUAGAAUAAGUUAAGUUGUUUACUUAAGAUAAGUUAAGUUAUAUUUAAGUUAAGUUAUAGUUAAGUUAGGUUAUAGUUAAGUUAAGUUAAGAUAAGUUAAGUUAUAGUUAAGUUAGGUUAUAGUUAAGUUAAGAUAAGUUAAGUUAUAGUUAAGUUAAGAUAAGUUUAGUUUUAAGUUUGGAUUCUUGACCGCGACCACGAAUCCCUCGCUCCUCUGCAGCUCCUCCUCUCCUCCUCCAAUACACCCCUCUGGUUGUAGUCUAAGAUGUUUACGAUGAAUCGCUCGCUCCUCUCGCACUCGCUCCUCUCCCGCUCGCUCCACUCACACUGGCUCCGUAACAAACAAAUAAACCUGAAGCUUCAAUUACGACUUCACCUUGGACUCAUUAGGCAUUACCCUAAAAGUCCUUGGUUGUGUUGUGUGGUUAUUUAUUUUGAUGUUCUGUGUUGUGAUGUUUUGUGUAGUGGCGCAAUUUUAGCAUCGUGUCUUGUAAUGUGUUGUCAUGCAUGUGUUUGUGUUGUGAUGUCUUGUCUUUUACUUGAUUUUUUUCACUUAGUGCGGAAGUCCGUCUAAAAGGUGAGUUUGGUUCCUCCAGAGUGAUUUUUUAUAUGAAACAAGGUUAGUGUAGGACUCUUUUUCAUUUUGGUUUUCUUUAGGAAAAGGACCUCCAUUGAGAAGAAACCCCCAGAGGAGCCAAGCAGGAGACUGAAGACGCAGGAGGACCAAACCUACGCAAGACAGGCCCACUAAGAGAGAUGAAUGACGGGGAUGGGUACUGAGUGUUCCUGGAAAUUUGAGGGUAAAUAACUAUCAAUACUUAAAAGGUUAAUAAGUACAAUAUGCUGUCUUUUAAGAAGAAAAAAAACACAUUUUCACAGUAACUGAAGGGCUGUAAUUCAUGUUUGUUUUCAGGUAACUCCAAAGAGUCAAACACCCAAAAUGAGUCCAGAGGAGCCCAAAGAAGACGACCAACCCUGUGAUGCAGAAGGAGACUGGACGAACAAGACGACAUGGAGAAAUAAAGUAAGUAAAGUUUGAUGAAUUUGUCUUAUAUCAUUCAAUUGUUGUCUUGAUGUGCCGCACUAUUGACCUACUAAAGAUGAAUAUUUAGUUAGUGGGCUAUUGUGUAGGUUUACAAUAGGCAACAUAAUUAACACUUGCAGUAAUUUAUUUGCUCAAUGACAAACAGGCAAAAGUCGCCCUGUGCCUUGUUAAAAUAUAACCAAACAGUCUUAUUCAUAUUGUUUGUCUCCUUUUAUUUACCAAUUGCAGCAUCAUGCCUAGAAAGGAGAGGAGAAGAAGGAAACAGAAAGGGAGCUACAGCAGACAGCCCAGGGGAGCAGCUCUCUACUCUCCUGGAUAAAAGCAUCCACCAGCAGCAAGGAGGAAGAUGAAGAUGAAGAUAAAAGGUCAGAGUCAAGAGUCAUGUUCACUGUUUCAGGCAUUUUAAAGCUAAGAUGUUGUUCCUCUAAUUUUACUGAAUCAUCUUAAAAGCUGUACACGUUAUUUAAACUACACAAAGUGGUUUGGCUGUACUAAAUUAGGCAUUAAGCUAUUUUAGCUCAUUAUAUUAUUUUGUACCAACAAGUUAUUUCUAUGUUAAAAGACUUGCAGUCAUCUUGUAUUUACCUUAACAGGCUAUAUUCAACCUUAGAAAAAUAGACUAUUACUGAAACUAUUAUUAUUCUAUUCUAGACAGCUACAGCAGGGAGGCAGUCGACCAACGACCAGCAAAGAAGCCCAGAUAGACGAAUCUCCAGAGUCAUCUACAGAUAAAGCAGAGUCCAUAGCAGCACCAAGUCCAUGCACAGAAUCAGAAGUGCUGUCUGAUGACCAAAAUGAGGGCAAACAAGAAAGGCAUGAUGUAUCAGCUGUAUGUCAAAGAAAUGAAAUGUUAAAAAUAAAUAUGUUAAAAUGAAAACAAAGUUCCAUGUCUGUCUAAAUCCACCAUAGUGAUAGAUAAUCUAUCAUUGUAGCUUGUAACUUGCUUAAAACUUCUCCAUGUGCGUUUAUUCCAAAGAACUAAAACAAUAGUGAUUGACUGAGCAGUGCUAUCGUGUGA